rnacentral:rRNA from 1 species
AGCGAACGCUGGCGGCAGGCUUAACACAUGCAAGUCGAGCGGGCGUAGCAAUACGUCAGCGGCAGACGGGUGAGUAACGCGUGGGAACGUACCUUUUGGUUCGGAACAACACAGGGAAACUUGUGCUAAUACCGGAUAAGCCCUUACGGGGAAAGAUUUAUCGCCGAAAGAUCGGCCCGCGUCUGAUUAGCUAGUUGGUAGGGUAAUGGCCUACCAAGGCGACGAUCAGUAGCUGGUCUGAGAGGAUGAUCAGCCACAUUGGGACUGAGACACGGCCCAAACUCCUACGGGAGGCAGCAGUGGGGAAUAUUGGACAAUGGGGGCAACCCUGAUCCAGCCAUGCCGCGUGAGUGAUGAAGGCCCUAGGGUUGUAAAGCUCUUUUGUGCGGGAAGAUAAUGACGGUACCGCAAGAAUAAGCCCCGGCAAACUCUGUGCCAGCCGCCGCAGUAA